rnacentral:rRNA from 1 species
AUGGCAUCUCGAUCGACCACAGCAUUGGCCUGUCCAAAUUUCAAAAUGUGGCAACCAAAAGACCUCCUCCUCAUCGUCGUCUCGCUGUGUAUCCUGGCGUGCACGGUGGCGGGCGACGGCGGCGGCAGGCCGCUGGUGACGGCCGUCAGAAGGGACGCGGCCACCUCCCUCUACAGCAUCCCCGUCAAUUCCGGCCGCCCGCUGGUCCUCGACCUCUCCGGCCCCAUCGUCUGGUCCACCUGCGACGACUGCGCCUCCCACGACACGCUCGAGUACAACGACAUCAACUGCAUGCGCGCUCACCGCUUCCACCCGCCCAACUGCCAGCAUAACGGCUACGGCAUGCCCGACGCGCACAACCCCUACCGCUGCAAGUGCACCGCGCACCCGCACAACCCCGUCUCCGGCGACACCGCGUCGGGGGACAUGACCCGCGUGGUGCUCUCUGCCAACGCCACCGAUGGCAGAAACCCUUUGGGCCCGGUGUCGUUCACCGCCGUGACGUCCUGCGCGCCGGAUUCCCUGUUAGCGGGGCUGCCGGCGGGGGCCGUCGGCGUCGCGGGGCUCGCGCGCUCCGGCCUCGCGUUUCCCGCUCAGGUCGCGCGCACGCAGGGCGUGGCUAACUCGUUCGCGCUCUGCCUCGGGAACGGCGAACGCGACGGCGUCGCCAUCUGGCCCAUCUUCGGCGGGGGCCCGCUCUUCGCGGCGAACGGGCGGUCCAUCACGGACAUGCUGCGCGGCGACACCCCGCUACGCAAGCACGGGGAAUACCCCGGCUACUACGUCUCGGCCAGCAGGGGCGUCUUCGUCGACGGAGCGAAGGUGCCGCUGGACACGUACGCACCGCUCACCAUUGGCUUCUCCACGACGACCCCGUACGCGCUGGUGCGCCGCGACGUGUACCGCCCGCUCAUCGACGCGUUCGACCAGGCCAUGGAACGCGACGGUGCGAUUACCGCCGGGGCGAGGCUCUCCUCCCCGGCUGGGUCGCCGUUCGAGCUGUGCUACAACUCUUCGAGGCUGUCACUGACGCGGUUCGGCUACUUCGUGCCGACGGUCGGCUUUGGGCUGGAGGGUGGCACGGGCUGGGCAGUGCUCAGGGGGGACAAGGCUGGCUAUGGCGGCGGUGCGGCGCUGGCGGUGGUGCUCGGAGGGUUGCAGAUGGAGGAGAACCUGGUGGUGUUCAACGAGGAGAAGCAGACCAUGGCCUUCACCGGGCAGAUCAACGGGAGGGGGCUCUUGUGCAGCAACUUUAAUUUUACCGUGCCCGCCUAG